rnacentral:sRNA from 1 species
UUGAUUUAGUUGUUUUUCUUUAACAGGAAUAUCUUAUCAAAUUAGGCAAUACAGAAUGUCAUCCAGAACAGUUUUUGGAAAGAAGAUCAAAAUUAGAUAAACUAUUGAUUAUUAUUCAAAAUGAAGACAUUGCAGGUUUCAUUCACAAGAUACCUGGCUUGGUGACUUUAAAGAAGCUCCCCUGUGUUAGUUUUGCUGGUGUUGAUAGCCUGGAUGAUGUUAAAAAUCAUACAUACAAUGAAUUAUUUGUAUCUGGAGGUUUUAUCGUAUCUGAUGAAUCAAUUCUAAACCCAGAGGUUGUCACAAUUGAGAACCUUAAAAAUUUUUUGACAUUCCUUGAAGAACUUAGUACUCCAGAAGGAAAAUGGCAAUGGAAAGUCCACUGUAAAUUUCAGAAGAAACUAAAGGAACUAGGCAGAUUGAAUGCUAAAGCUCUAAGUCUGUUGACGCUUCUGAAUGUCUAUCAGAAGAAACAUCUGGUUGAAAUUUUGUCAUACCACAAUUGUGAUUCACAAACUCGAAAUGCUCCAGAAUUGGAUUGCCUUAUCAGACUUCAGGCUCAGAACAUACAGCAACGACACAUAGUCUUU